rnacentral:rRNA from 1 species
GACGAACGCUAGCGGCGCGCCUAACACAUGCAAGUCGAACGAGGUCCAUGAGAGCUUGCUCUCGGACGACCUAGUGGCGAACGGGUGAGUAACACGUGAGGAACUUGCCCCAGACUCGGGGAUAACCCAGGGAAACUUGGGCUAAUACCGGAUACCCUCUUUGGACCGCAUGGUCCGCUGAGGAAAGAAUUUCGGUCUGGGAGAGCCUCGCGACCUAUCAGCUAGUUGGUGAGGUAACGGCUCACCAAGGCAACGACGGGUAGCUGGUCUGAGAGGACGAUCAGCCACACUGGGACUGAGACACGGCCCAGACUCCUACGGGAGGCAGCAGUGGGGAAUCUUGCGCAAUGGGCGAAAGCCUGACGCAGCGACGCCGCGUGCGGGAUGACGGCCUUAGGGUUGUAAACCGCUUUCGGCAGGGACGAAAAUGACGGUACCUGCAGAAGAAGCCCCGGCUAACUACG